CCUACGGGUGGCAGCAGUGAGGAAUAUUGGUCAAUGGGCGUAAGCCUGAACCAGCCAAGUCGCGUGAGGGAUGAAGGUUCUAUGUAUCGUAAACCUCUUUUAUAAGGGAAUAAAGUGUGGGACGUGUCCUAUUUUGUAUGUAUCUUAUGAAUAAGGAUCGGCUAACUCCGUGCCAGCAGCCGCGGUAAUACUGAGGAUCCGGUCGUUAUCCGGUUUUCUUGGGUUUAAAGGGUGCGUAGGCGGCCUUUUAAGUCAGUGGUGAAAGUCUGUGGCUCAAACAGAGAAUUGCCGUUGAAACUGGGGGGCUUGAGUAUGUUUGAGGCAGGCGGAAUGCGUGGUGUAGCGGUGAAAUGCUUAGAUAUCACGCAGAACCCCGAUUGCGAAGGCAGCCUGCCAAGCCAUGACUGACGCUGAUGCACGAAAGUGUGGGGAUCAAACAGGAUUAGAUACCCUUGUAGUC
rnacentral:rRNA from 1 species